rnacentral:rRNA from 1 species
UACGUAGGGGGCGAGCGUUGUCCGGAUUUAUUGGGCGUAAAGAGCGUGUAGGCGGUUCGGUAAGUCUGUCGUGAAAUCCUGAGGCUCAACCUCGGGCGUGCGAUGGAUACUGCCGGGCUAGAGGGUGGUAGAGGCGAGUGGAAUUCCCGGUGUAGCGGUGAAAUGCGCAGAUAUCGGGAGGAACACCAGUAGCGAAGGCGGCUCGCUGGGCCGUACCUGACGCUAAAGCGCGACAGCAUGGGGAGCAAACGGG